GACGAACGCUGGCGGCGUGCUUAACACAUGCAAGUCGAACGAUGAAACCGGAGCUUGCUCCGGUGGAUUAGUGGCGAACGGGUGAGUAACACGUGAGUAACCUGCCCUUGACUCUGGGAUAACUGCGGGAAACUGUAGCUAAUACCGGAUACGACCCUCGGAGGCAUCUCCUGGGGGUGGAAAGAAUUUCGGUCAAGGAUGGACUCGCGGCCUAUCAGCUAGUUGGUGAGGUAACGGCUCAACAAGGCGACGACGGGUAGCCGGCCUGAGAGGGUGACCGGCCUCACUGGGACUGAGACACGGCCCAGACUCCUACGGGAGGCAGCAGUGGGGAAUAUUGCACGAUGGGCGCAAGCCUGAUGCAGCAACGCCGCGUGAGGGAUGACGGCCUUCGGGUUGUAAACCUCUUUUAGCAGGGAAGAAGCGAAAGUGACGGUACCUGCAGAAAAAGCACCGGCUAACUACGUGCCAGCCGCCGCCGUAA
rnacentral:rRNA from 1 species